rnacentral:RNase_P_RNA from 1 species
GUGAGCUGGCGGACGGCCUUCGGGCCACUUAUGGCCUGAGGAAACUCCGCCCACCACGCAGCCCGCAGCGCCGCAAGGCGCGGGGCGAGAGCCCCGGCUCCGGAGCAGAAACGGAACGCCCACCAGGCCCAUGACGCUGAGGCGUGCUAAGUCGCCGAGUAGGCUUGGUGGGAGCGGUGAAACGGCCGUCCUGCGGGGUGAAAGGGCGAGUAGGCGCCUAUGAAUGCUGCGUGAGGCGCGGGUAGCCCGUUUAG